AUUUCUAAUAAAUUUAGGUUUUUUUCUCUGUCAUUUCAAUCAAAGGUAAAAAUAAACAGUUUUUGGAGAAGGUCCAUUCAUCUGCUGCAAACUCUAAGAGCUCCUGCUUUAGUGCAACACUUGGCAGGACAAAUGGAUUUGACUUCAGAGUGCAGGUAUGGUACAUCUCUAUACAGUAUACACUACCUACCUUACCAAAUAAAAUGCGUAAUCCUUUAAUUAAAACUUGUUACUUUUAUGAUUUCUUUUAGUGUGACACAUCAAACAUUGCAUCUGAACAGACCAUUGAGAAGCACACCAAUCAAUUCAAAAAGAAUAUAUCAGUAACAGAGGCAAUAGCCUUGGUCACUGAAGAGGGACGUCUCAAGUUUCAGGAGCAAGAUGUUGUGCUGGACACUCAACCCAGAGCUGGGAGGAACAAGUUUUCAAGUUUGUCCAAAAUGUCCGUAUCGGAAAUGCUAAUGAUACCCAAUCAGAAAAAGGACUCUCUGCCAAGGCCUGGUAAUUAAGACUUCACAAUAAUAACUACUUCACUCUUGGAUGGU
rnacentral:lncRNA from 1 species